GAUGAACGCUGGCGGCGUGCCUAAUACAUGCAAGUCGAGCGAACGGACGAGAAGCUUGCUUCUCUGAUGUUAGCGGCGGACGGGUGAGUAACACGUGGAUAACCUACCUAUAAGACUGGGAUAACUUCGGGAAACCGGAGCUAAUGCCGGAUAAUAUUUUGAACCGCAUGGUUCAAAAGUGAAAGACGGUCUUGCUGUCACUUAUAGAUGGAUCCGCGCUGCAUUAGCUAGUUGGUAAGGUAACGGCUUACCAAGGCAACGAUGCAUAGCCGACCUGAGAGGGUGAUCGGCCACACUGGAACUGAGACACGGUCCAGACUCCUACGGGAGGCAGCAGUAGGGAAUCUUCCGCAAUGGGCGAAAGCCUGACGGAGCAACGCCGCGUGAGUGAUGAAGGUCUUCGGAUCGUAAAACUCUGUUAUUAGGGAAGAACAUAUGUGUAAGUAACUGUGCACAUCUUGACGGUACCUAAUCAGAAAGCCACGGCUAGCUACGUG
rnacentral:rRNA from 1 species